GUCUAGGGCCAUAAAUACCCUGAAUGUGCCCAAUCUUGUCUGAUCUCAGAAGUUAAGCAGGGUUGGACCUUGUGAAUAUUUGGAUGGGGGACCACCUGGGAAUACUGGGUACUAGAGGCA
rnacentral:rRNA from 1 species